AUUGAACGCUGGCGGCAGGCCUAACACAUGCAAGUCGAGCGAGCGGCGGACGGGUGAGUAAUGUCUGGGAAACUGCCUGAUGGAGGGGGAUAACUACUGGAAACGGUAGCUAAUACCGCAUAACAUCAGAUGUGCCCAGAUGGGCUUAGCUAGUAGGUGGGGUAACGGCUCACCUAGACGACGAUCCCUAGCUGGUCUGAGAGGAUGAACAGCGACACUGGAACGGCGACACGGUCCAGACUCCGACGGGAGGCAGCAGUGGGGAAUAUUGCACAAUGGGCGCAAGCCUGAUGCAGCCAUGCCGCGUGUGUGAAGAAGGCCUUCGGGUUGUAAAGCACUUGCAGCGGGGAGGCGUUACCCGCAGAAGAAGCACCGGCUAACUCCGUGCCAGCCGCCGCGGUAAUUC
rnacentral:rRNA from 1 species